AAACCGGUUCUCUAUCGACGCACAUACGCGCACACACUAGUACUCCUCUGUAGUAGUCCUCCUCGAUCCGCUUCUCCCAUACCGUGGUCAUGGAGGAAGAUCGUGCCAGUGGGCAGCGUCUGGCAGAGAGAGAUGCGUCAGACCCCUCAGAACUGCCAGGUGGCGUGCAGCGCGUCGCACCCGCUUCCGCGCCGACGUCCUCAUUUGCAAAUAUCCAGAUGCGCCCAGAAGGGCAACGGUACGGUGAUGCGGACCUGGUUCCCGGUGGCAGCCUCAGUGGCAACGGAGGCAUGCUGAUGAAUGAGCGCAACUUCCACGGACCAGGGAUGCCGUGCGUCCCCCUUCGUGGUCCGGGGGAGGGUCAGCCAGACCUUGGUUCGGCCGACGGGUACGCCCGGUUCGAUCCUAUAUUUCCUGGCCAGAUGCCACCAGGCCGCGGCCGGGGCCGUUUUGACGUCGGCGGCAGCUGGGGGCAAGGUGCACCAAACCUACCAGGGGAGCCGGACAACGACCUUUUCCUGCCUCCGCAGGGCGGCCCCGGUGAACCGUUUGGCGGCCCCGGUGGUGGCCAGUUCGGGCCGCGGCACAGCUGGGGUGGGAACUCCCCGUGGGCUUGAACAACAAACUCGACAGAGAGCGUAGACGGAAGGAGGCGUUCGGUUUUGUUUCGUUGUUGUGAAACGCUGUACCGUGUGUCUCCCGUCCCCCUCUCAUCUUCUCUCCCUCUGCCGUAUUAUCGUUCAUUACGAAAUGCGCCACCACCCAUCCAGGCAUGUCUCCUCAUCUCCGCGUUGCUUGGCUCAGGUUUUUCUUUCGACGGACUCUUUCGCUGGGUUUUCUACUUUCUCUUCUGCUCACGCGUGUUAUGGAAUGGCUGAGUGAGUCGUGUCGUGUUUCUCUCAUGCCCCUCACCUCCACCCGUUUCUCUCCCUCUUCCCGCAUCUAUCUUAGCUCUCGCGUCACUCUCUCUCUCUCUUUGCGGCUGAUAGGACUUGUGCUAUGCUG
rnacentral:misc_RNA from 1 species